UACAGAGGGGGCAAGCGUUGUUCGGAAUUACUGGGCGUAAAGGGCGCGUAGGCGGCCUGUUAAGUCGAACGUGAAAUCCCCGGGCUCAACCCGGGAACUGCGUCCGAUACUGGCAGGUUUGAAUCCGGGAGAGGGAUGUGGAAUUCCAGGUGUAGCGGUGAAAUGCGUAGAUAUCAGGAGGAACACCGGUGGCGAAGGCGGGACUCUGGGCCGAUACUGACGCUGAGGAGCGAAAGCGUGGGGAGCGAACAGG
rnacentral:rRNA from 1 species